GACGGAAGGUGCAAGCGUUGCUCGGAAUCACUGGGCGUAAAGGGUGCGUAGGCGGCCUGGUAAGUCUGGCGUGAAAGCCCAGGGCUCAGCCCUGGAAGGGCGCUAGAAACUGCGAGGCUGGAGUGCCGGAGGGGAGAGUGGAAUUCCUGGUGUAGCGGUGAAAUGCGUAGAUAUUGGGAGGAACACCGGUGGCAAAGGCGGCUACCUGGACCGGUACUGACGCUGAGGCGCGAAAGCUAGGGUAGCAAACAGG
rnacentral:rRNA from 1 species